GGGUGCGAUCAUACCAGCGUUAAUGGAUCGGAUCCCAUCCGAAAUCCCCAGUUAAGCGCGCUUAGACUAGAGUAGUACUGGGAUCGGUGACCUCUCAUGAAGUCCUAGUGUUGCACCCU
rnacentral:rRNA from 1 species